GGCGGGACAUGUGAACCCUAAAAAUUUGAGAAAAUUUCAUUCUUAAAUUUGAGAACCACUGAUUAAUCCUUCAGUCUCCCACUGAGAGUAGUAACCACCGCUCUCUCCCACUGUGAGUCGUCCUUCUUCGCCGUCCUUCUUCGCGAGGUAAGUUCUCAUGUUAACUAUCGCUCUUCGCGAAGGCACUUCCGCUACUCUCAGGUUAACUGUCGCUCUCUCCAUUGUUGCAUAAACCCUCUCAAUUCUCUAUUGUUUCCGGAACCCUGUCAAUUCCUCUCCAUUGCUGCAGAAAAGAAAGCAAUGGGAAGGACGACGAGAAAAUUAAAUAUUGGGCAUUGCAUAUUAAAAGAAUCCAACCAAGGAAGUAAUGCUACUCAAACAACCUCUACUCAUGCCGAAGGAAGUAAUGUUGAAGAAACUCAUAUAACUUCAACUGAUGCCCAAGGAAGAACUAAAGAAACAUGAUAAUGAGGUUGGAACAUCUCAAUCGGUCCAAGAGAUACAAAGUCACAUGCCUUGGAAGGAUGAUAUAUAUAUAUAUAUAUUCCAAAGUACAAGGACCUGAAAAAAGAGGACCAGUGUGUUGUAUGGGCAAGAUUCCCAAAACCAAAAAAUUGAAAGCUUCUUUGUCCGAAAAUCAAGAGUUACGCGAUAAAGUUAAGCAAAUGCAAGAACAACAAAACAAUACAAAUGCGGUGUUGGUAAAUGUGUUGUCAUUGAUUCAAAAUCGAUUUUCUGGAGAAGAUGUGAAUGACAUUUUACGAGCUGCAAGACAGGUUACUGAUUCUUCUAGUUCCCCUAACCAAACGGAUUCUCCAAAUCCAUACACUAACGAAGAUUAAAGAGAGAAAACGUAUAUUGUGUUCUGGGUUCUUUGCUGUCCUGUUUGGCUGGUUUUGGGGGCUGCUACUAUCUAGUUGGAUUCCGUUGCAAGUCUGUUUCAGAUUAUUGUUUGGUAGGGAUGACAUACACAUGUAUUUUGGUGGUUGAUAGUUUUUCGAUUGGUAGUUUUAGGGUGAAUUACAAGCAAACAGUGGCUGUCAUGUUGCUUUCAAGUUGUACUAAUUUUAUUUAACUUUAAAAAAAUUGGUGCAAUUUCAAUUUUGGAGAUUUUUCUAGUUAACAUUGUUUUGGUGUUUUAAUAUACUUUGUUAGUUUAAGAUGUUUGCAAGACUUAUUAGUUUUUUAAUAUAGUCUGCAAAUUUUUGUUAUUACUAAAAAAAAGUACCUAUUAUUAAAAAAAAU